UACGUAGGGCGCAAGCGUUAUCCGGAAUUAUUGGGCGUAAAGAGCUCGUAGGCGGUUUGUCGCGUCUGGUGUGAAAUCCCAUGGCUCAACCAUGGGCUUGCAUCGGGUACGGGCAGACUAGAGUGCUGUAGGGGAGACUGGAAUUCCUGGUGUAGCGGUGAAAUGCGCAGAUAUCAGGAGGAACACCGGGUGGCGAAGGCGGGUCUCUGGGCCGUAACUGGACGCUGAGGAGCGAAAGCAUGGGGAGCGAACAGG
rnacentral:rRNA from 1 species